rnacentral:rRNA from 1 species
ACGCUGGCGGCAGGCUUAACACAUGCAAGUCGAACGGUAACAGGAGAAAGCUUGCUUUCUUGCUGACGAGUGGCGGACGGGUGAGUAAUGCUUGGGAAUCUGGCUUAUGGAGGGGGAUAACGACGGGAAACUGUCGCUAAUACCGCGUAGAGUCGAGAGACGAAAGUGCGGGACCGCAAGGCCGCAUGCCAUAGGAUGAGCCCAAGUGGGAUUAGGUAGUUGGUGGGGUAAUAGCCUACCAAGCCGACGAUCUCUAGCUGGUCUGAGAGGAUGACCAGCCACACCGGGACUGAGACACGGCCCGGACUCCUACGGGAGGCAGCAGUGGGGAAUAUUGCGCAAUGGGGGCAACCCUGACGCAGCCAUGCCGCGUGAAUGAAGAAGGCCUUCGGGUUGUAAAGUUCUUUCGGUAUUGAGGAUGGUUGUUGUGUUAAUAGCACGACAAAUUGACGUUAAAUACAGAAGAAGCACCGGCUAACUCCGUGCCAGCAGCCGCGGUAAUCCGGAGGGUGCGAGCGUUAAUCGGAAUAACUGGGCGUAAAGGGCACGCAGGCGGACUUUUAAGUGAGGUGUGAAAUCCCCGGGCUUAACCUGGGAAUUGCAUUUCAGACUGGGAGUCUAGAGUACUUUAGGGAGGGGUAGAAUUCCACGUGUAGCGGUGAAAUGCGUAGAGAUGUGGAGGAAUACCGAAGGCGAAGGCAGCCCCUUGGGAAUGUACUGACGCUCAUGUGCGAAAGCGUGGGGAGCAAACAGGAUUAGAUACCCUGGUAGUCCACGCUGUAAACGCUGUCGAUUUGGGGAUUGGGCUUUAAGCUUGGUGCCCGAAGCUAACGUGAUAAAUCGACCGCCUGGGGAGUACGGCCGCAAGGUUAAAACUCAAAUGAAUUGACGGGGGCCCGCACAAGCGGUGGAGCAU